AGGGAGCUUGCUCCCGGAUGUUAGCGGCGGACGGGUGAGUAACACGUGGGUAACCUGCCUGUAAGACUGGGAUAACUCCGGGAAACCGGAGCUAAUACCGGAUAGUUCCUUGAACCGCAUGGUUCAAGGAUGAAAGACGGUUUCGGCUGUCACUUACAGAUGGACCCGCGGCGCAUUAGCUAGUUGGUGGGGUAAUGGCUCACCAAGGCGACGAUGCGUAGCCGACCUGAGAGGGUGAUCGGCCACACUGGGACUGAGACACGGCCCAGACUCCUACGGGAGGCAGCAGUAGGGAAUCUUCCGCAAUGGACGAAAGUCUGACGGAGCAACGCCGCGUGAGUGAUGAAGGUUUUCGGAUCGUAAAGCUCUGUUGUUAGGGAAGAACAAGUGCGAGAGUAACUGCUCGCACCUUGACGGUACCUAACCAGAAAGCCACGGCUAACUACGUGCCAGCAGCCGCGGUAAUACGUAGGUGGCAAGCGUUGUCCGGAAUUAUUGGGCGUAAAGGGCUCGCAGGCGGUUUCUUAAGUCUGAUGUGAAAGCCCCCGGCUCAACCGGGGAGGGUCAUUGGAAACUGGGAAACUUAAGUGCAGAAGAGGAGAGUGGAAUUUCCACGUGUAGCGGUGAAAUGCGUAGAGAUGUGGAGGAACACCAGUGGCGAAGGCGACUCUCUGGUCUGUAACUGACGCUGAGGAGCGAAAGCGUGGGGAGCGAACAGGAUUAGAUACCCUGGUAGUCCACGCCGUAAACGAUGAGUGCUAAGUGUUAGGGGGUUUCCGCCCCUUAGUGCUGCAGCUAACGCAUUAAGCACUCCGCCUGGGGAGUACGGUCGCAAGACUGAAACUCAAAGGAAUUGACGGGGGCCCGCACAAGCGGUGGAGCAUGUGGUUUAAUUCGAAGCAACGCGAAGAACCUUACCAGGUCUUGACAUCCUCUGACAACCCUAGAGAUAGGGCUUUCCCUUCGGGGACAGAGUGACAGGUGGUGCAUGGUUGUCGUCAGCUCGUGUCGUGAGAUGUUGGGUUAAGUCCCGCAACGAGCGCAACCCUUGAUCUUAGUUGCCAGCAUUCAGUUGGGCACUCUAAGGUGACUGCCGGUGACAAACCGGAGGAAGGUGGGGAUGACGUCAAAUCAUCAUGCCCCUUAUGACCUGGGCUACACACGUGCUACAAUGGACAGAACAAAGGGCUGCAAGACCGCAAGGUUUAGCCAAUCCCAUAAAUCUGUUCUCAGUUCGGAUCGCAGUCUGCAACUCGACUGCGUGAAGCUGGAAUCGCUAGUAAUCGCGGAUCAGCAUGCCGCGGUGAAUACGUUCCCGGGCCUUGUACACACCGCCCGUCACACCACGAGAGUUUGCAACACCCGAAGUCGGUGAGGUAACCUU
rnacentral:rRNA from 1 species